UUGUGGCAAUCAUUGCAGUUUGGUUUGUUGUUGCCCACAGGGUGCCAAUUUCAAAAUCUCUUUGAUAAACGAGUAAAAUCGGCUGUUUCUAUCUCGUCUUCUCGUUGUAUAGCUGCACUGCGGCUGGUUGGCCGUCGACGAGACGGUUUUUCUUGGUGUUUUGUGGCAUAAAAUUAUCAAAUAAAUACUAUUUAAAACAAGUAGUUUUAAUUAAAUACUACUUUACUACUACGGUCAGCUUCGUGCAAAUCAAAAACAACAUAGUCAGCAAAAACCCACACCAAGUCGUUAAACAAUAUGCUUAAGCAUUUGUUUUCUCAUAAAUUGCAAGAAUUAGUUAAAUAAACUGAGAUGUCUACAAAAAGAGGAAUAUAAAAAUAUUGAAUAAUUAAAACAAGCUAAAAGCUACCCGACGUAGUAGUUCCGAAAUUACAUACAAUUAAGCGAAAUCUUUAAAUCGACAUAAGUGUGAGAUGCAAUUUUAGGGAGCAAUUGCUAAUCAAUGCCUGCGACUGCAGGGGUCGUUUAUGCGUCUGUGCGUAUGAAACGUUAUUAAAAAAAAAGGCAAAAUAUAAAUUUUGUUUCGCUAAAAAAUUUUCGACUAAGUUGAAACACAACUUAACCAAAUAAAACACAUGUAUAUACGUAUGUACAUAUGAAACUGGAAUUAAAUAGUAUCGAUAUAACAAUAAAACAAAACAGAGAGUUGGGUGUUCGCGUUGGUGCGCUUUCGAAACGGUUAGUUCCCGAUUUGUAUGCUUCAUAAAAAAUAUAAAAAUACCCAACAAUAGAAGGUUGACAUAGUGCACGUUUGGCUGUUAACUGCAUUUUCAGAUAUUUUAAUUAAAUUACAUUUAGUUUCACGAGCAAUAAGCCUUUCCGAAACAACCCUUCAAUAGACCUAAUUCGAUUGCUGUGUUGUUUUUUUUUUUUUGUUGUGUAAAAAAUCACAUACUAUUUUCUUGCACAAAACAAGAAGAUAUGGAAUUUGGAAAAUUUGGUGUAUUUCAAUAUCUACAUAAUUAAAACUGGUGUUCAUUAAACAACUAUUGUAAAAUCUGCUUGCUGACAAUAAAUGCAAACGAUUCACAGCAGACCAGCGUCACAAAUCUGUCAAACUGAAAUUGCUCAACAAUAUUUUUUUUUUGGCAUACACAAUUUUUUAUAUUUGUGUGAAGUUUUCAUUUCGUAAAUAUUAAGAAAUAUGCGGUUAAAAAUAAUCAGAUAAUUAAUUGGCCGCCACAGUAAUAGCAAAUCAGUGUAAGCGGCAGCAAUUUCACUUGAUCCGAGGAAGAGGAAAAUCAAAAAAAACAAACAUCUCCGUAUAUAGCCACAGCUAAAUAACGCUUUAAUAUUCUGCUUCAACCGCACACCGUCCACGUAGAGCUAUAAGGACAGCGCACGGGUGCACCGCAUUUUCUUAAGGAGAGGAACGGCAGCGGAUCAUAACUACACCAGGCAGUGACAGCCUCGUUAGGUUGGAACCCACCGAAGCGACUUACAAACAACAACAACAACGACAGCAAACUUUAUAAAUAAAUUCAAAGCGUUGACGGACGAAAACAAUAUCCUUUGUCUUAAAACUUUGUGGUAAAAUCGGAGCUUUUUUGUUCUAAAUAUAAAAUCGCUACUAACAAGCAACACGCGCCCGCCCUAAGCAAUUGACUUCAUGCAAACCUGUGAAUGUAAUCGACAGCCGUUAAACGAAAAUAACGCAUAAAAAAAAAACAAACGCAAAAAAAAUAUAUAUCUGUGAGUUUACAACAUUGCGUAAGGAUUCGUGUGGCCUGGAAUGUGAGUAACUGAGUGCGUGUGUGUGCGUGGGAUCGCAAAUCUAAGGCGCAAAAACAUUGUAAUUCAUAAAUGUUAUUCUAGUUCGAUACCAAUCCAAACUCUGCAGUGGUUGUAACAAUAGAAUUUUUUUUGUUGGAAUCUAUAAACAAGCACUUUUUCUCACACUAACCAAUUGUUUGGUUUGGUGGCUAUUUUGCAUACAUACAUAUUUGCAACUAUUGAAUUUUUUCUACAACAACUCAAAAUCUACUCUUUUGCUGGCGGCUAA
rnacentral:lncRNA from 1 species